rnacentral:rRNA from 1 species
UCGGGAAUUUUGGGCAAUGGGCGAAAGCCUGACCCAGCAACGCCGCGUGAAGGAUGAAGUAUUUCGGUAUGUAAACUUCGAAAGAAUAGGAAGAAUAAAUGACGGUACUAUUUAUAAGGUCCGGCUAACUACGUGCCAGCAGCCGCGGUAAUACGUAGGGACCAAGCGUUGUUCGGAUUUACUUGGCGUAAAGGGCGCGUAGGCGGCAUGACAAGUCACUUGUGAAAUCUCUGGGCUUAACCCAGAACGGCCAAGUGAUACUGUCGCGCUAGAGUGCAGAAGGGGCAAUCGGAAUUCUUGGUGUAGCGGUGAAAUGCGUAGAUAUCAAGAGGAACACCUGAGGUGAAGACGGGUUGCUGGGCUGACACUGACGCUGAGGCGCGAAAGCCAGGGGAGCAAACGGGAUUAGAUACCCAGGUAGUCCCUGAGCGGGCUGGCAAGGCGCAU